GCUGGGUGUGGUGGCGCAUGCCUGUAAUCCCAGUUACUCGGGAGGCUGAGGCAGGAGAAUCGCUUGAACCCAGGAGGCGGAGGUUGCAGUGAGCCAGGAUCAUGCCACUGCACUUCAGCCUGGGUGAUAGAGUGAGACUCUGUCUCCA
rnacentral:SRP_RNA from 1 species